rnacentral:rRNA from 1 species
AGAGUUUGAUCCUGGCUCAGGACGACAAUCGGGCGGCGUGCUUAACACAUGCAAGUCGGACGGUCGGCUUUGGAAGGUUCGCUGGAAGGUGCCGGUAGUGGCGGACGGGUGAGUAACGCGUGAGGACAUGGCUCCAGGAGGGGGAUAACGUUUGGAAACGGACGCUAAGACCCCAUAUGCCGGAAGGUGAAAAUGGUGCAAGCCAGCCUGGAGAGUGACUCGCGUCCUAUCAGCUAGUUGGUGGGGUGAAGGCCUACCAAGGCGAUGACGGGUAGCCGACCUGAGAGGGUGGCCGGCCACACUGGAACUGAGAUACGGUCCAGACUCCUACGGGAGGCAGCAGUGGGGAAUAUUGGGCAAUGGGCGCAAGCCUGACCCAGCGACGCCGCGUGGGGGAAGGAGGCUUUCGGCAUGCCCACUCUUGUUGUACGGGACGAAACGAAUGACGGUACCGUACGAGUAUGUCCCGGCA